ACUGGUUGUGGAUGGGCUCACGGCCUAUCAGCUUGUUGGUGGGGUAAUGGCCUACCAAGGCGACGACGGGUAGCCGGCCUGAGAGGGUGACCGGCCACACUGGGACUGAGACACGGCCCAGACUCCUACGGGAGGCAGCAGUGGGGAAUAUUGCACAAUGGGCGCAAGCCUGAUGCAGCGACGCCGCGUGAGGGAUGACGGCCUUCGGGUUGUAAACCUCUUUCAGCACGGAAGAAGCGAAAGUGACGGUACGUGCAGAAGAAGCGCCGGCUAACUACGUGCCAGCAGCCGCGGUAAUACGUAGGGCGCAAGCGUUGUCCGGAAUUAUUGGGCGUAAAGAGCUCGUAGGCGGUUUGUCGCGUCUGCUGUGAAAGCCCGGGGCUUAACCCCGGGUGUGCAGUGGGUACGGGCAGACUUGAGUGCAGUAGGGGAGACUGGAACUCCUGGUGUAGCGGUGAAAUGCGCAGAUAUCAGGAAGAACACCGAUGGCGAAGGCAGGUCUCUGGGCUGUUACUGACGCUGAGGAGCGAAAGCAUGGGGAGCGAACAGGAUUAGAUACCCUGGUAGUCCAUGCCGUAAACGUUGGGCACU
rnacentral:rRNA from 1 species